GGAGGGGUGGCUGAGCGGUCGAAAGCGGCGGUCUUGAAAACCGUUGAGUGUAAUAGCUCCUAGGGUUCGAAUCCCUACCCCUCCGCCA
rnacentral:tRNA from 2 species